rnacentral:rRNA from 1 species
UGGGGAAUCUUCCGCAAUGGACGAAAGUCUGACGGAGCAACGCCGCGUGAGUGAAGAAGGUUUUCGGAUCGUAAAACUCUGUCUUUUGGGGCGAACGUGAGUAUGGUGAACAAUCAUAGUCAGUGACGGUACCAAAGGAGGAAGCCACGGCUAACUACGUGCCAGCAGCCGCGGUAAUACGUAGGUGGCAAGCGUUGUCCGGAAUUAUUGGGCGUAAAGAGCGCGUAGGCGGGAUAGUCAGUCUGUUGUAAAAGUGCGGGGCUCAACCCCGUGAUGGCAAUGGAAACAGCUAUUCUUGAGUGCAGGAGAGGAAAGUGGAAUUCCCAGUGUAGCGGUGAAAUGCGUAGAUAUUGGGAGGAACACCAGUGGCGAAGGCGACUUUCUGGACUGUGUCUGACGCUGAGGCGCGAAAGCCAGGGGAGCGAACGGGAUUAGAUACCCCGGUAGUCCUGGCCGUAAACGAUGGGUACUAGGUGUGGGGGGUAUCGACCCCUUCCGUGCCGGAGUUAACGCAAUAAGUACCCCGCCUGGGGAGUACGGUCGCAAGACUGAAACUCAAAUGAAUUGAC